AACGAACGCUGGCGGCAUGCCUAACACAUGCAAGUCGAACGAGACCUUCGGGUCUAGUGGCGCACGGGUGCGUAACGCGUGGGAACCUGCCCUUAGGUUCGGAAUAACUCCCCGAAUGGGGUGCUAAUACCGGAUAAUGUCUUCGGACCAAAGAUUUAUCGCCUUUGGAUGGGCCCGCGUUGGAUUAGCUAGUUGGUAGGGUAAAAGCCUACCAAGGCGACGAUCCAUAGCUGGUCAGAGAGGGUGAUCAGCCACACUGGGGCUGAGACACGGCCCAGACUCCUACGGGAGGGAGCAAAGGGGAAUAUUGAACAAUGGCCGAAAGCCUGAUCCAGCAAUGCCGCGUGAGUGAUGAAGGCCUUAGGGUUGUAAAGCUCUUUUACCCGGGAUGAUAAUGACAGUACCGGGAGAAUAAGCUCCGGCUAACUCCGUG
rnacentral:rRNA from 1 species